GAUGAACGCUGGCGGCGUGCCUAAUACAUGCAAGUCGAGCGAACAGACGAGGAGCUUGCUCCUCUGACGUUAGCGGCGGACGGGUGAGUAACACGUGGAUAACCUACCUAUAAGACGGGGAUAACUUCGGGAAACCGGAGCUAAUACCGGAGAAUAUAUUGAACCGCAGGGUUCAAUAGUGAAAGACGGUUUUGCUGUCACGUAUAGAUGCAUCUGCGCCGCAUUAGCUAGUUGGUAAGCUAACGGCUUACCAAGGCGACGAUGCGUAGCCGAGCUGAGAGGCUGAUCGGCGACACUGGAACUGAGCCGCGGUCCAGACUCCUACGGGAGGCAGCAGUAGGGAAUCUUCCGCAGUGGGCGAGAGCCUGACGGAGCAACGCGGCGUCAGUGAUGAAAGUCUUCGGAUCGUAAAGCUCUGUUAUUAGGGAAGAACAAAUGUGUAAGUAACUAUGCACGUCUUGACGGUACCUAAUCAGAAAGCCACGGCUAACUACGUG
rnacentral:rRNA from 1 species